AGAUUGAACGCUGGCGGCAGGCCUAACACAUGCAAGUCGAGCGGUAGAGAGGUGCUUGCACCUCUUGAGAGCGGCGGACGGGUGAGUAAUGCCUAGGAAUCUGCCUAGUGGUGGGGGAUAACGUUCGGAAACGGACGCUAAUACCGCAUACGUCCUACGGGAGAAAGGCGGGGGACCUUCGGGCCUCGCGCCAUUAGAUGAGCCUAGGUCGGAUUAGCUAGUUGGUGAGGUAAUGGCUCACCAAGGCGACGAUCCGUAACUGGUCUGAGA
rnacentral:rRNA from 1 species